ensembl:miRNA
GUAUCAAGUUGGUGCAAAAGUUACUGUGGUUUUUGCCACUGAAAGUAAUGGCAAAAACUGCAAUCACUUUUGCACCAACCUAAUA